rnacentral:rRNA from 1 species
CCUACGGGAGGCAGCAGUGGGGAAUAUUGCACAAUGGGGGAAACCCUGAUGCAGCGACGCCGCGUGAGUGAAGAAGUAAUUCGUUAUGUAAAGCUCUAUCAGCAGGGAAGAAAAUGACGGUACCUGAGUAAGAAGCCCCGGCUAACUACGUGCCAGCAGCCGCGGUAAUACGUAGGGGGCAAGCGUUAUCCGGAUUUACUGGGUGGAAAGGGAGCGUAGACGGCAGUGCAAGUCUGGAGUGAAAGGCGGGGGCUCAACCCCCGGACUGCUCUGGAAACUGUACGGCUGGAGUGCAGGAGAGGUAAGUGGAAUUCCUAGUGUAGCGGUGAAAUGCGUAGAUAUUAGGAGGAACACCAGUGGCGAAGGCGGCUUACUGGACUGUAACUGAUGUUGAGGCUCGAAAGCGUGGGGAGCAAACAGGAUUAGAUACCCCUGUAGUC